rnacentral:rRNA from 1 species
GACGAACGCUGGCGGUGUGCUUAACACAUGCAAGUCGAACGGUAAGGCCCUUUCGGGGGUACACGAGUGGCGAACGGGUGAGUAACACGUGAGUAACCUGCCCUCAUCUCUGGGAUAACAGUCGGAAACGGUUGCUAAUACUGGAUAUGAGCUUGCAAGGCAUCUUGUGGGUUGGAAAGAUUUUUUUGGUUGGGGAUGGACUCGCGGCCUAUCAGCUUGUUGGUGAGGUAGUGGCUCACCAAGGCUUCGACGGGUAGCCGGCCUGAGAGGGCGACCGGCCACAUUGGGACUGAGAUACGGCCCAAACUCCUACGGGAGGCAGCAGUGGGGAAUAUUGCACAAUGGACGGAAGUCUGAUGCAGCAACGCCGCGUGCGGGAUGACGGCCUUCGGGUUGUAAACCGCGUUCAAUUGUGACGAAGCUUUUUGUGACGGUAGCAGUAGAAGAAGCACCGGCUAACUACGUG